rnacentral:rRNA from 1 species
CCUACGGGUGGCUGCAGUGGGGAAUAUUGGACAAUGGGGGGAACCCUGAUCCAGCCAUGCCGCGUGUGUGAAGAAGGCCCUCGGGUUGUAAAGCACUUUCAGUGAGGAAGAACGCCUGGAGGUUAAUACCCAUCAGGAAAGACAUCACUCACAGAAGAAGCACCGGCUAACUCCGUGCCAGCAGCCGCGGUAAUACGGAGGGUGCGAGCGUUAAUCGGAAUUACUGGGCGUAAAGCGCGCGUAGGUGGCUUGAUAAGCCGGUUGUGAAAGCCCCGGGCUCAACCUGGGAACGGCAUCCGGAACUGUCAAGCUAGAGUGCAGGAGAGGAAGGUAGAAUUCCCGGUGUAGCGGUGAAAUGCGUAGAGAUCGGGAGGAAUACCAGUGGCGAAGGCGGCCUUCUGGACUGACACUGACACUGAGGUGCGAAAGCGUGGGUAGCAAACAGGAUUAGAUACCCUAGUAGUC